AAAGCAGGUCGCAAUUACAGUGCUUCAUUGAUCCCGUGGGAGUACUGCCAUUAUCCUGCUGAGAGAAAAGUUCACAUUGCUUUGGAGUUACUUAUCCUGGUCAAUGCAUUUGACGGGGAUGCUCUGAAGUACUGACACUU